GGAGCUGUGGGUGUUUGACCCAGUUUAUAUGUGUCUUUUCAGUUUUCUGUUUUCAAGAGUACUUAAUCAACAAUAACACAUUAUGUUAAUUAUGUGCCCAAUAUGUUGAUGAUAAUGGACAUUCAGGGAGCAUAUCCUCUAAGUGCCUCUGGCAUUGGGAUGAUAAAUUUUCCCAUCAAAUACAUAGACUACGAGUGUAUACUGCCACAGUGCCACUACACAAUCAACAAGCCUCCAUAGUUCUGGUUUAUAGUAAAUGCCUACCUUAAAUUACAUCAGUUUGGUUUUGGACCUCAAUGGUGUUUAUAUGAGCAUCCUGUAUUGUAUCCUUGAAAUACUGGCUGUCUAAUGGUUAGAUAUCAUCUGUUGGCAUGUAAAAACUUCUUAUACCAUGCCUACAGAAACUAGGUAGGUGUAGCAGCACCAUUGAGAAUAAAUGGCUGUUGCAAAUAUGGUUGAAUUCUGCCACGUCAGAAUGUUUAAUUCCUUUGAGCUGCUAAUACUUCUAAAUCAUGAUGGUACUGGGCAGCUCUGGCAGUUGGGUUUAGAGGCUUGUUUAGGAAAUGCUUACAGUCCUCUACUAUGAUUCUAAGGUUCAUUACCUCGUGUAACUUCAACUAUUGCUCAGAGAGGCAGGCUUUAAAGUUUAAAUCUUAGUGCACCAUGCUUGAUGUGUAAUUCUUGGAAAUUUUGACUAAAAGAAAUCUUUCUGAACUGAAAUUCUUGCCUUUUUAUGGGUAUGGUUUUCUUAAAAUGUUGUUGAUGGGUGGUCUUCCUUAAUCGUUUUGUUAUCUGAUGGAAAAUAUUAAUUUGGCAGGCUCGCAUUAAAAAGAUAAUGCAAGCUGAUGAAGAUGUUGGGAAGAUAGCACUGGCAGUUCCUGUUUUAGUUUCUAAAGCAUUGGAAUUGUUUUUGCAAGACCUUUGUGACCAUACAUACAAAAUCACACUGCAGCGAGGUGCAAAAACUAUGAGUGCAUUGCAUUUAAAACACUGCGUACAGAGCUACAAUGUUUUCGAUUUUUUAAGGGAAAUUGUCAGCAGGGUUCCUGACUAUGGUCAUGGUCAUUCUGAUAACACUGCAGAUCACAGAACCCUUCAAAAGAGGAAGCCCAUUGUGGAUGAAUGCAAUGACAGUGAUGAAGAGUUGAAGAGAAGCAGGAUGGUAAGAUAGCACUCCAAAUAUUUCUCAAACCAGAGUGUGUUGAUGAAUUAAAUUGAUGUCAUCUAUAGUUCACUACAAGAGUUUACAUUAAUCUGUCUUCUAACCUUUUCCUAUCAUUGGUUGGUUGAUUUUUUGUUACUCCAUUUUCAAAUUUAGGUUCAAUCACUGUCUUUGUUACCUUUUUCAACUUUGAUCCAUCACUUUAGACUAUUUGGCUGCAACUUCUUGAAUGGAGGGGGGGAAAAAAGAAAAUAGUGUGAAAGAUGUUAUGUUCAGCUAUUCUAAAUUUGGUGUAUGUAGUGUUUGAAUCAGAUUGUCUACUAAAAAAAUGUUAAUGGAGGAAUUUUAUGAUGUUUCCAGCAUGAGAUGAACCAUGCAGGCAGCAGUGGCCGAGGGAGAGGGCGUGGUCGAGGAAGGGGCCGAGGACGAGGUGUUCGAAACAUGGAACGAGAGUCUUCUCAUCGUGAGAUUGAAUCUGAGCCCGGUACAACUCUUCAGCAGAACGUAAAAAAUAACUCAAAUCCUGGAAUGGUGGUAGAUAAUGGUUCUGAACAAAAGGAAUUGUUGGAGGAAGAUAUGAUAGUCGGUGAUGGUGCCACUGCAUCGGAAAGAAACUUUGAUCUGAAUGCUGACGUGAAUGAGAACGAGGACACAAAGGCUACAGCUGCUGCAACAACAGCAGCAGCACCUGCAGCAGCAGCAACAGUGGUUGACAACUCAUCUGCAGUGCCUACUGCUGAAACUAAUCAAGAAGAAUAUCCAGGUUGGUCGCUUUCUGAAAUGGACAAGAUGGCCAUCGACCCUCUGCAGCUUGCAAAGCUCGGCACAAGAUUAGAUGAGGAGGAGGAAGAUUAUGAUGAAGAAGGCUAAUCUACCAUUAACAGAGACUUCUUAGGAAAUGGUUAGCGGUUGGGAUUUGAUUAAUGGAUGUGAAUACAAGGAGAGGAAAGCAGCAGAAGGUGAAUACCAGAAAGACAAGUACACAUUGGAGAAUGAACAUGUGCCCUGUGUCGUUCUUCCUGGGAAAGGCAGAAAUGAUAAGAUCGUUUAGGUUUUUCUGUGUCUCUCUUUCCUUUCCUGCCAUGCUAUCUUCUAACAACCAUUUGCAGUAGUAGACUUGCGUAGAACAUUAACUUUGUGUGAUUUGAAUGUCUAAUGUAUGAUGAACAUGGCAGCCUUAGUAAAAGUUGCUGUUUAAGAUUGUUGUGUUUUGAUUCGUUUUUCAGUUUCAGUCCAAC
rnacentral:misc_RNA from 1 species